rnacentral:rRNA from 1 species
CAGCGCCGCGGUAAUGCGUAGGGGGCAAGCGUUAUCCGGAAUUACUGGGUGUAAAGGGAGCGUAGACGGUUAAACAAGUCUGAGGUGAAAUGCCGGGGCUCAACCCCGGAGCUGCUUUGGGAACUGUAGAACUGGAGUGUCGGAGGGGUAAGCGGAAUUCCCAGUGUAGCGGUGAAAUGCGUAGAUAUUGGGAGGAACACCGGCGGCGAAGGCGGCUUACUGGACGACAACUGACGUUGAGGCUCGAAGGCGUGGGUAGCAAACAGGAUUAGAGACCCCCGUAGUCCCUGUCUCUUAUACA